rnacentral:lncRNA from 1 species
CGAGACAUCCGGGCCUUCGCUCCUCCCCCGCGCCGACGCCCUUGGUGACCUUGUACGGCCUCUUAACCCGUGACAGAGGACCCAGCCCUGCCCAGCUCUGACUUCACCCCUUCUCCUGGGGACCCCGCUCCCUAGCAGGGAUCAGCCAGCUCGGGGAGGGGACUCGGGCCACAAGCAGGUCCCCGGGCCAUCUGCAAAGGACGGAGCCUGGGACCAGGAACGGGUCGGGGCGGUGACUCAGGCGCUGGUCCAAGUUCUGCGCGGCUAUCCCUGUCAAAUUCCAGGUCAGGGUUCGGGUUUCAGGCUCGGACCUGACUCCCGCCUCUGGGGCCAAGUGGACCACGCAGACGGUAUGGUGGCCCACGUCUGUAGUACCAGCACUUGGGAGGCCGAGGCAGGAGGAUCACUGUGAGUUGGAGGCCAGCCUGGGCUACAUAGCGAGACCCUGUUUCCAAAAACAAACCCCCAAAAUAUAUCUUUCCAGAAAUAUGCAGGUCUGAGAUUCAAUUCUUGUGUUUUAAAGUCUCAGCUCUUGUAUUUCAAAAAAACAGAAGAUUUCGAAUGUUUCCCCAUACAGAAAUGCUAUUUGAGAAGGCAAGAUUAACACGAUUCAAAGGUUGCACAACACACAAUAAAAUAUGACGUGGUUCCCUACAAACGUGG